GAAAUGCGAUAAUUAAUGUGAAUUGCAGAAUUCCGUGAAUCAUCGAGUUCUUGAACGCAAAUGGCGCUUGAGGGACAUCCCUCAAGUAUGUCUGCUGGAGUGUCGGUUCCAUACAUCACACAACCCCAAAAAGGGGUAUUGCGUGGAUGAUGAGCAUUGGGAAACGAUAGGUUCUCAUUGCUUGAAAUAGAGGGGUAAAGAGAAAGAAAAUCGGAAAACAGGUGGACUGUUCCAACUUGGCUGGAAUAGAGUCGUUGGUAACGGUCUUUCCUUCCGUUUCUAUCCUCUCCGUGAAGGAUGUAUAUUCCUACCUCGACCUCCAAUCAGACAGGGUUACCCGCUGAAUUUAA
rnacentral:misc_RNA from 1 species